rnacentral:misc_RNA from 1 species
UCCAACUUAUCGCUGGCGGUCUCCUGAGAGUGCAUCCUUGCGGAUUAGCAACACAGGACAAGGGUUGCGCUCGUUGCGGGACUUAACCCAACAUCUCACGACACGAGCUGACGACAGCCAUGCAGCACCUCGACUACUGUCCCUUGCGGGAAAGACGAUGUUUCCACCGCCGAUCAGCAGCCGUUCGAGCCCAGGUAAGGUUCUUCGCGUUGCGUCGAAUUAAUCCACAUAAUCCACCGCUUGUGUGGGUCCCCGUCAAUUCCUUUGAGUUUUAACCUUGCGGCCGUACUCCCCAGGCGGUCGACUUCACGCGUUAGCUUCGUUACUGAGAGUGUCAAACCCCCAACAACCAGUCGACAUCGUUUAGGGCGUGGACUAC